rnacentral:rRNA from 1 species
UCAUGCUCAGGAUGAACGCUGGCGGCGUGCCUAAUACAUGCAAGUCGAGCGAAUGGAUUAAGAGCUUGCUCUUAUGAAGUUAGCGGCGGACCGGUGAGUAACACGUGGGUAACCUGCCCAUAAGGCUGGGAUUACUCCGGGAAACCGGGGCUAAUACCGGAUAACAUCUUGAACCGCAUGGUUCGAAAUUGAAAGGCGGCUUCGGCUGUCACUUAUGGAUGGACCCGCGUCGCAUUAGCUAGUUGGUGAGGUAACGGCUCACCAAGGCAACGAUGCGUAGCCGACCUGAGAGGGUGAUCGGCCACACUGGGACUGAGACACGGCCCAGACUCCUUCGGGAGGCAGCAGUAGGGAAUUUUCCGCAAUGGACGAAAGUUUGACGGAGCAACGCCGCGUGAGUGAUGAAGGCUUUUGGGUUGUAAAACUCUGUUGUUAGGGAAGAACAAGUGCUAGUUGAAUAAGCUGGCACCUUGACGGUACCUAACCAGAAAGCCACGGCUAACUACGUGCCAGCAGCCGCGGUAAUACGUAGGUGGCAAGCGUUAUCCGGAAUUAUUGGGCGUAAAGCGCGCGCAGGUGGUUUCUUAAGUCUGAUGUGAAAGCCCCCGGCUCAACCGUGGAGGGUCAUUGGAAACUGGGAGACUUGAGUGCAGAAGAGGAAAGUGGAAUUCCAUGUGUAGCGGUGAAAUGCGUAGAGAUAUGGAGGAACACCAGUGGCGAAGGCGACUUUCUGGUCUGUAACUGACACUGAGGCGCGAAAG